UCUAAAUAUAAGUGACAAACAUCACCUUGUGUUUUCUGAGCAGGACGGAAAGGUGCAAGCUAAAAUGUGUUGUUAUGAUGCUAGUUGGCUUUGAAAUUACUUUUCAAACAAAGAUCGCUUUUGAUGAGACCUAAUCUGAUAUUCAUGCACAGAAAGUGAAGAUAUAGCAAGUAUACUUAAAGAAAACCAUGACUUAGAAAGCAGAACAGUUAUAUUUAUGUUUGUAGAGACUAGGAGAGAUAAUUAUCUUAGAAGUGAUUUAAAUGCACAGAAAGUAAGUGCCCAAUUUCCAAAGAAGAAUUAGAGAUCUCUAAAGCCUUUAUUAGAAAAUCCUUGUGUUCUUUUUAUGAAAUGUCAGUGAAAUGAGAGAUUGUCAUGACGUUAAACCAGAAUAAGAAUUUAAGGAAUGGAGAAAAGCAAUGAUGAAAAAAACUACAGUAAAGUCAAGGUCUAUACACCAAAGAUAGAAAAAAUGAGAAAAAUAAAUGGAAAGAAUGAAGCAAAAAGAGAGCCAUGAAAGAUACAAAGAGAUGUAUUUAGAAAGUAGAAGGAUCAAGACACUGUGUGCCUCAGAAAAAAAGAAGAUAUAAUUAAGCUAAAGAUUUUGAGAUGGAAUAAUUCAGAGGAGGAGAAGAUAUGAAGCAGAAGAGAAGAAUCCCAUGUGAAGAAGGGUACAAUGAUUGAAGUUACACAGGCGCAAGUUGAAAAGGCUGAAGCCAUCAGAAUGUGGAAGAGGUAAGGAAGGAUUCUACCCUACAGCCUUCAAAGGGAGCAUGACUUUGCUGACACCUUGAUUUUGGACUUCUGGCCUUGAGAACUGUAAUAUAAUAAAUUUCUGUUGUUUUAAGCUAUCAAGUUUAUUGCUAUUUGUUAAGAGAGCAGUAGGAAACUAACAGUAUGUAUAUUCCUUCUUUAGUGACAGUUACGAAGUAAAAAAAAAACAAGAGAAUAUGGAAACUGCUAUAUACUAAUGAUUUUUUUCUGCCCAUAUCCAUCUG
rnacentral:lncRNA from 1 species